rnacentral:rRNA from 1 species
GCUACCGCUAUUGGAAUUCGAUUAAGCCAUGCGAGUCGAGAGAUUUCGGAUCUCGGCAGACGUCUCAGUAACACGUGGAUAAUCUGCCCUUGAGUGGGGGAUAAGCUUGGAAACCUGAGUAUAAUACCCCAUAGGCCCAGGAUGCUGGAAUGCUUCUGGGCAGAAAGCUCCGGCGCUCAAGGAUGAGUCUGCGACCUAUCAGGCUGUAGUGGGUGUAACGGACCCACUAACCUUCGACGGGUACGGGCCUUGAGAGAGGUUGCCCGGAGUUGGACUCUGAGACACGAGUCCAGGCCCUACGGGGUGCAGCAGGCGCGAAAGCUUCACAAUGUGGGAAACCACGAUGAGGGGAUUCCAAGUGCCAGCACUUUGUGUUGGCUGUUCAUCUGCCUAAAAAGCUGAUGAAGUAAGGGCCGGGUAAGACGGGUGCCAGCCGCCGCGGUAAUACCCGCGGCCCGAGUGGUGGCCGUUAUUAUUGAGCCUAAAGCGUCCGUAGCCGGUCCAGUAAAUCUCUGGGUAAAUCGGGCAGCUUAACUGUCCGAAUUCCGGAAAGACUGCUGGACUUGGGACCGGGGGAGGUUGGAGGUACUCCUGGGGUAGGGGUGAAA